rnacentral:rRNA from 1 species
GAUGAACGCUGGCGGCGUGCUUUACACAUGCAAGUCGAACGGUAACAGGCCGCUAGGUGCUGACGAGUGGCGAACGGGUGAGUAAUGCAUCGGAACGUGCCCAGUCGUGGGGGAUAACGCAGCGAAAGCUGCGCUAAUACCGCAUACGAUCUCUGGAUGAAAGCGGGGGACCGAAAGGCCUCGCGCGAUUGGAGCGGCCGAUGUCAGAGUAGGGAGUUGGUGGGGUAAAGGCCCACCAAGCCAACGAUCUGUAGCUGGUCUGAGAGGACGACCAGCCACACUGGGACUGAGACACGGCCCAGACUCCUACGGGAUGCAGCAGUGGGGAAUUUUGGACAAUGGGCGCAAGCCUGAUCCAGCAAUGCCGCGUGCAGGAAGAAGGCCUUCGGGUUGUAAACUGCUUUUGUACGGAACGAAACGGUCCGGGUUAAUACCCUGGGCUAAUGACGGUACCGUAAGAAUAAGCACCGGCUAACUACGUGCCAGCCGCCGCUGUAA